rnacentral:ncRNA from 1 species
GUAUAAUGGUGCAAUAAUCGGCAACUCAGUGCAGAGGGUUUAGUCAACCUUGCUGAGAACGGUUUGAAUGCAAAGUCUUGUUUAUAUGGGAUACUGUAUAAUUAAGGCUUCUUGUUGAUAGUGAUUGAUACGGGGUAGAGACAGAUGUCUCAAGUGCAAGAACCGGUUGCCGGUCUAUAUGAGCAAAAUGUCUAAUCAAGGAGUCGGAGCGAUAAUUGAGGAGGUCCACAGCAAUGGGGACCAAUGCGGCUCUUAAGUGCUGUAUGGGGACAUAUAGAUUACUGAGAGUAAUUCCAAAACAAGCUCUUGCCAAUGACCCGGAGAAAUCCGGCUAUAAGACAAAACAGAUUAGGGCGAGUACCACAAGGCGUUCUUUUACAAAAUAUUAAUUGCUAAAUAUUUACUGAAAAAUACUUAACAAGAACUGAAUGACGUGGGAAAGUUGGGGGUAUCAUUCCCCUCAGAGCAUAGGGCGAAAGCCGGGGUACAUAGGUUAGGACGACGGUCCGAAGCUUCAGGUGUAUCUCCUCUGUGACAGAAUAUUGCGUAGUAUAGAUUUGGGUAGGGCGAAGGUCCGCCGAUUAUUGUUUUUUUUU